UCCGGUUGAUCCUGCCAGAGGUUACUGCUAUCGGUGUUCGCCUAAGCCAUGCGAGUCAUAUGUUCUUCGUGAACAUGGCGUACUGCUCAGUAACACGUGGAUAACCUGCCCUUGGGUCCGGCAUAACCCCAGGAAACUGGGGAUAAUUCCGGAUAACGCACAUAUGCUGGAAUGCUUUAUGCGUAAAAUGGAUUCGUCUGCCCAAGGAUGGGUCUGCGGCCUAUCAGGUAGUAGUGGGUGUAAUGUACCUACUAGCCUACAACGGGUACGGGUUGUGAGAGCAAGAGCCCGGAGAUGGAUUCUGAGACAUGAAUCCAGGCCCUACGGGGCGCAGCAGGCGCGAAAACUUUACAAUGCGGGAAACCGUGAUAAGGGGACACCGAGUGCUAGCAUCAUAUGCUGGCUGUCCAGGUGUGUAAAAUACACCUGUUAGCAAGGGCCGGGCAAGACCGGUGCCAGCCGCCGCGGUAACACCGGCGGCCCGAGUGGUGAUCUUGAUUAUUGGGUCUAAAGGGUCCGUAGCCGGUUUGGUCAGUCCUCCGGGAAAUCUGACAGCUCAACUGUUAGGCUUUCGGGGGAUACUGCCAGACUUGGAACCGGGAGAGGUAAGAGGUACUACAGGGGUAGGAGUGAAAUCUUGUAAUCCCUGUGGGACCACCUGUGGCGAAGGCGUCUUACCAGAACGGGUUCGACGGUGAGGGACGAAAGCUGGGGGCACGAACCGGAUUAGAUACCCGGGUAGUCCCAGCCGUAAACGAUGCUCGCUAGGUGUCAGGCAUGGCGCGACCGUGUCUGGUGCCGCAGGGAAGCCGUGAAGCGAGCCACCUGGGAAGUACGGCCGCAAGGCUGAAACUUAAAGGAAUUGGCGGGGGAGCACAACAACGGGUGGAGCCUGCGGUUUAAUUGGACUCAACGCCGGACAACUCACCGGGGACGACAGCAAUAUGUAGGCCAGGCUGAAGACCUUGCCUGAAUCGCUGAGAGGAGGUGCAUGGCCGUCGCCAGUUCGUACUGUGAAGCAUCCUGUUAAGUCAGGUAACGAGCGAGACCCA
rnacentral:rRNA from 1 species